ACACAUGCAAGUCGAGGGGCAGCAUGAUUGAAGCUUGCUUCUAUUGAUGGCGACCGGCGCACGGGUGAGUAACGCGUAUCCAACCUUCCGUACACUCAGGGAUAGCCUUUCGAAAGAAAGAUUAAUACCUGAUGGUAUGAUGAGAUUGCAUGAUAGCAUCAUUAAAGAUUUAUCGGUGUACGAUGGGGAUGCGUUCCAUUAGGUAGUAGGCGGGGUAACGGCCCACCUAGCCUACGAUGGAUAGGGGUUCUGAGAGGAAGGUCCCCCACAUUGGAACUGAGACACGGUCCAAACUCCUACGGGAGGCAGCAGUGAGGAAUAUUGGUCAAUGGACGAGAGUCUGAACCAGCCAAGUAGCGUGAAGGAUGAAGGUCUUACGGAUUGUAAACUUCUUUUAUAAGGGAAUAAAACCUCCCACGUGUGGGAGCUUGUAUGUACCUUAUGAAUAAGCAUCGGCUAACUCCGUGCCAGCAGCCGCGGUAAUACGGAGGAUGCGAGCGUUAUCCGGAUUUAUUGGGUUUAAAGGGAGCGCAGACGGGUCGUUAAGUCAGCUGUGAAAGUUUGGGGCUCAACCUUAAAAUUGCAGUUGAUACUGGCGUCCUUGAGUGCGGUUGAGGUGUGCGGAAUUCGUGGUGUAGCGGUGAAAUGCUUAGAUAUCACGAAGAACUCCGAUUGCGAAGGCAGCACACUAAGCCGUAACUGACGUUCAUGCUCGAAAGUGUGGGUAUCAAACAGGAUUAGAUACCCUGGUAGUCCACACGGUAAACGAUGGAUACUCGCUGUUGGCGAUAUGCGGUCAGCGGCUUAGCGAAAGCGUUAAGUAUCCCACCUGGGGAGUACGCCGGCAACGGUGAAACUCAAAGGAAUUGACGGGGGCCCGCACAAGCGGAGGAACAUGUGGUUUAAUUCGAUGAUACGCGAGGAACCUUACCCGGGCUUAA
rnacentral:rRNA from 1 species